GACGAACGCUGGCGGCGUGCCUAAUACAUGCAAGUCGAGCGCAGGAAGCCGACGGAACCCUUCGGGGGGAAGUCGACGGAAUGAGCGGCGGACGGGUGAGUAACACGUAAAGAACCUGCCCUCAGGUCUGGGAUAACCACGAGAAAUCGGGGCUAAUACCGGAUGGGUCAUCGGACCGCAUGGUCCGAGGAUGAAAGGCGCUCCGGCGUCGCCUGGGGAUGGCUUUGCGGUGCAUCAGCUAGUUGGUGGGGUAAUGGCCCACCAAGGCGACGAUGCAUAGCCGACCUGAGAGGGUGAUCGGCCACACUGGGACUGAGACACGGCCCAGACUCCUACGGGAGGCAGCAGUAGGGAAUCUUCCACAAUGGACGAAAGUCUGAUGGAGCAACGCCGCGUGAACGAUGAAGGCCUUCGGGUCGUAAAGUUCUGUUGUAAGGGAAGAACAAGUGCCGCAGGCAAUGGCGGCACCUUGACGGUACCUUGCGAGAAAGCCACGGCUAACUACGUGCCAGCAGCCGCAGUAAGAC
rnacentral:rRNA from 1 species